rnacentral:rRNA from 1 species
AGUGAACGCUGGCGGUAGGCCUAACACAUGCAAGUCGAACGGCAGCACAGUAAGAGCUUGCUCUUACGGGUGGCGAGUGGCGGACGGGUGAGGAAUACAUCGGAAUCUACUUUUUCGUGGGGGAUAACGUAGGGAAACUUACGCUAAUACCGCAUACGACCUACGGGUGAAAGCAGGGGAUCUUCGGACCUUGCGCGAUUGAAUGAGCCGAUGUCGGAUUAGCUAGUUGGCGGGGUAAAGGCCCACGAAGGCGACGAUCCGUAGCUGGUCUGAGAGGAUGAUCAGCCACACUGGAACUGAGAAACGGUCCAGACUCCUACGGGAGGAAGCAGUGGGGAAUAUUGGACAAUGGGCGCAAGCCUGAUCCAGCAAUACCGCGUGGGUGAAGAAGGCCUUCGGGUUGUAAAGCCCUUUUGUUGGGAGAGAAAAGCAGCAGGUUAAUACCCCGCUGUUCUGACGGUACCCAAAGAAUAAGCACCGGCUAACUUCGUG